ACUGUCACCGAGUGUUGGGGAAAAAUCAUGGGAGGGUUAUACACAUAUGUACAUUCCAGCGUGCAUCAAUAAACACUAUGUUAUGCUGGAGAUCGUUUUUGCUGACUCGACUAUAUAUGUAUACGACCCAGAUCAUUCAUAUUUGACACAAGGCCAGUUGGAGCGAAACCUGGAGUCCGUGGCUGUAAUUGUUCCUAUGAUGGCCAGACGAGCGGGGAUAAAUGUACAGGACAGAUUGCGGAUCGUUCGGAACACGACGACAGCGCGACAGUCCGUAAAGUAAGUGUUUGAACUUUGUUGUUUUCAUCUUUCAGAUUUAGUUUUUAUUUACAUAGUACUAAACUGAUUCAUUCUUGUUCAAUUGCAGCGGCGACUGCGGCAUAUUUGCCAUUAAGUACGUUGAAUUUUUAAGUAUAGGACAUAAGGUUGAUGGAAUCAACC
rnacentral:lncRNA from 1 species